AUUUCUUAGAAUUUGUUAAGAAUGAGCUCUGCUCAAUGCUCUCGUAAAUAGCCGCAGUAUUCUGACUGUGCAAAGGUAGCAUAAUAAUUAGUCUUAUAAUUGAAGACUGGAAUGAAAGAGUUGACUUAAAAAAAAUUAUUUUUGUUAUUUUUUUUAAACUUUACCUUUUAGUAAAAAGGCUAAAAUUUUUCUUAAAGACAAGAAGACCCUGUAAAACUUAACAAUUUAACUCUUAAUUAACAAGCACAUUGUUCGGCUGGGGCGGCAGAGAAUACUAACACUCUUAGAAACAAAAUAAUACUAAUAAUUAACAUACCCAGAAUUUCUGAAAUUCAAAUAAGCUACUUCAGGGAUAACAGCGUUAUACAUUUUGAAAGACCUCAUUGACAAAUGUGUUUGCGACCUCGAUGUUGGAUUGUGAACUCUUUCUUCUGCAGAAGGAAAAAAAGAAGGUCUGUUCGACCUUUAAAUUCACCCA
rnacentral:rRNA from 1 species